rnacentral:rRNA from 1 species
CCUUGAUGUGUAGGAUAGGUGGGAGGCUUUGAAGUGUGGACGCCAGUCUGCAUGGAGCCGACCUUGAAAUACCACCCUUUAAUGUUUGAUGUUCUAACGUGGACCCGUAAUCCGGGUUGCGGACAGUGUCUGGUGGGUAGUUUGACUGGGGCGGUCUCCUCCUAAAGAGUAACGGAGGAGCACGAAGGUUGGCUAAUCCUGGUCGGACAUCAGGAGGUUAGUGCAAUGGCAUAAGCCAGCUUGACUGCGAGCGUGACGGCGCGAGCAGGUGCGAAAGCAGGUCAUAGUGAUCCGGUGGUUCUGAAUGGAAGGGCCAUCGCUCAACGGAUAAAAGGUACUCCGGGGAUAACAGGCUGAUACCGCCCAAGAGUUCAUAUCGACGGCGGUGUUUGGCACCUCGAUGUCGGCUCAUCACAUCCUGGGGCUGAAGUAGGUCCCAAGGGUAUGGCUGUUCGCCAUUUAAAGUGGUACGCGAGCUGGGUUUAGAACGUCGUGAGACAGUUCGGUCCCUAUCUGCCGUGGGCGCUGGAGAACUGAGGGGGGCUGCUCCUAGUACGAGAGGACCGGAGUGGACGCAUCACUGGUGUUCGGGUUGUCAUGCCAAUGGCACUGCCCGGUAGCUAAAUGCGGAAGAGAUAAGUGCUGAAAGCAUCUAAGCACGAAACUUGCCCCGAGAUGAGUUCUCCCUGAGACUUAGAGUCUCCUGAAGGAACGUUGAAGACGACGACGUUGAUAGGCCGGGUGUGUAAGCGCAGCGAUGCGUUGAGCUAACCGGUACUAAUGAACCGUGAGG